GAAAACCAGAGAGAGGGAGGGAGGGAGGUCUUCCAUCAGCUGGUCCACCCCUGACGUGGGCCAAAGCCAGGAGCCGUGAACUCCAUCCACGUCUCCCACGUGGUGGCAGGGAUCCAGGUACUUGAGCCUCCUGGAUGCAUCAGCAGGGGGUCGGAUUGGGCGCCGGGCCGCAGGCCAGCCCCCGCCGCCCCCUCCGGUUUGCCCUGCUGCCUACAGCGUCCCCUAAAUGAGUGACCUCAGGUUCGCUCGAGCAACCUCCCGUUCUUGGGCUGUGUUUGCUGGGCGUUCCUGGCACCAACACCACGAGCCAGGAUCUUCUGUUUGCACGCGACAGCCGGCUCAAACCGGUGAGACAGUGAGCAGGGCCUGGCCCACGCUGGGGACAGAGGGCACCCACGCAGCUCCCCGCAGGGCCUGCCCCUCGCUGGGGACAGAGGGUGCCCACGCAGCUCCCCACAGGGCCUGGCCCACGCUGGGGACAGAGGGUGCUCCAGGAGGGAGGGCCGUGGCCCCCAGAUUCCCAGAGCCCUGUGGGGUCCCCAGAGGGGCAGGAUUUCGAGCCGGGACCCCCUCCCUGCCCUGUGCCAGGGUCAGGGCAGUGCCUCCAGGUCUCCUCGCCAGGACGGGCCACUCCCGCGACUGGGCGGGCUGCAGACUGGCCCUGUGGUCCCGACGGACAGCCCUCGGCGGCUUCUCCACCUUGGCUCCCCCUCCUCCCGGCCGCCCGCUUGGCCGUCCGCGGAUGUGCCUGUGCGUCUCACCUCAGGGCCUUUGCUGGUCUUUUUCCCACUGCCUGAAAUACUCGGUGACCCGCGGGCCUCGUCCCUGGCUUCGGUUGGGAAUGAUCUCCACGUCCCCGUGCCUGGCCAUCCCCCUCCCUCCCUGCCCUGCCCCUCACCGUACCCCUUACCCCCGGGUGUUGGGAUUUCAUCUGUUCGUUAGCUCCGACUCUGUGUUGUCCAUGUGAGUGCCAGCGCUUUUUGCCGCCUCCCUGCCGAUGUCCUGGGGGCUCU
rnacentral:lncRNA from 1 species